AUGGUGAACAAGCUGCUACCUGCCAUCAAGGCUUUGUGGCCGGCUUCGGAACGCGAACGCAUAAUAUACAUUCCGCAAGAUAAUGCAAAGACCCAUAUUGCUGUGAAUGACAGUGUGUUUUGUGCAGCGGCACAGGCGGAUGGAUGGGAUAUUAGGCUUACAUGUCAGCCGCCGAACUCACCUGAUUUGAACAUUCUGGACUUAGGAUUCUUUGCUGCACUUCAGGCUCUUUUUGAGAAGAUGUCCCCUGGUAAAAUUGGUGAUAUUGUUGCAAAGGUGCAAAAAGCAUAUGACACCUACCCGGCUGAGAGAAGCAACCGUAUUUUUCUUACCCUUCAGUCAUGCAUGUGCGAGGUACUGAAGCAGAAAGGAGGUAACCGGUACAAGGUUCCGCACAUGAGGAAGUCAUUUCUGGCGGCACUCGAAAUGCUUCCGGACGUAGUACCCUGCGAUGCUGAUAUUGUAAUUGCUGCUAUUGAAGCCCUUCCAGAUGCUUGA
rnacentral:rRNA from 1 species